rnacentral:misc_RNA from 1 species
AAAAAAAAAAAAGGAAAACUUUUUUGAGGUUUCUGGGAGAUUUAAAUGUCCAAAAAGUGUCUAACACAAGAACGUUGGCCUUCUAGACAUUUUCAUGCUUCCUAGGUGUUUGUUUUCAUUUAUAACCAAUUAAAUAUGAAAUUCAGUAAACGGACCUAUCUUAUGCCAAAAUACCUAAUUCUGCCCCAUUGAGUGAAAUGGCAAGAAAAUUGCAGUAUAAGAGGCAAGGUAGAAAUAGAGGAUCCCUGCUAAAAAAAUCAUUAUGGCCAGAGCAGAACAAUAUUAACAACCUUAAACAUAGUUAUUAAGGCGAAAGGCGA